rnacentral:rRNA from 1 species
UACGUAGGAGACGAGCGUUGUCCGGAGUUACUGGGCGUAAAGGGUGCGCAGGUGGCGGCGCGCGUGGGGGGUGAAAUCGCCCGGCUUAACUGGGCGGGGGCCUUCCAGACGGCGUGGCUUGAGCAGCGGAGGGGGACGUGGAAUUCCGGGUGGAGCGGUGAAAUGCGUAGAUAUCACUUGGAACGCCAAAGGUGAAGACAGUCUGCUGGGGAUCUGCUGACGCUGAGACACGAAAGCCAGGGGAGCGAACGGG